rnacentral:rRNA from 1 species
CCUACGGGUGGCAGCAGUGAGGAAUAUUGGUCAAUGGGCGGAAGCCUGAACCAGCCAAGUAGCGUGCAGGAUGACGGCCCUACGGGUUGUAAACUGCUUUUAUACGGGAAUAACGCGCCUUACGUGUAGGGCUUUGCAUGUACCGUAUGAAUAAGGCCAGGCUAAUUCCGUGCCAGCCGCCGAGGUAAUACGGAAGGUCCGGGCGUUAUCCGGGUUUAUUGGGUUUAAAGGGAGCGUAGGCCGCAUGUCAAGCGUGCUGUGAAAUGUCCGGGCUCAACCCGGGCCUUGCAGCGCGAACUGGCGUGCUGGAGUCCGCUGAAAGCAGGCGGAAUUCGUCGUGUAGCGGUGAAAUGCUGAGAUAUGACGAAGAACCCCGAGUGCGAAGGCAGCUUGCUGCAGCGGAACUGACGCUGAUGCUCGAAAGCGCGGGUAUCGAACAGGAUUAGAGACCCUUGUAGUC